AAAGUAUAUUUAUUUAUUGUUUUAUACAUAUUUAUUAAUAUCACUGCUUCUAGGAGAUCAACUUUGAGGGACACAAAAGUGAGAAGCAAAAUACAUUCUGUACAAUGAAGAUUCAUCAAUUCAAAUGAGAACUCAGCAUCAGUUACGAAAGAAAAUUCUUAGUUUGCUGCUGUGUUGAAGACAAACAUAUUUGAUAUGGCAGCUGCCAUCCUUCCCAGCAUUCCUCUACAGACACUAAGGGUCUUCAGAGUCAGCAUUUUGCUCUUCAACAAUCAAGAGUGUACUUAAGAUGUGGGACUCUGUUUAAGCUUUUACCUCAAGACUACUUGCCAUCUACCUGCUGUCUUGGAGUGGACGUUCAGCGGUUGCGUGUGGCUCUGACUUCCAAGAGGAGACAAGGGACUCAGAAUUCAAGGUCCAGGGAAAUGUUGGAUUUUUACUGGAGUCCAGAGGACUGCUUUUCACCGCUACCAAGGGACCCUGAAUAUUGCACCACACUCAUCUUUCUGAACUGGCCACUGGCUGUCUUUCAACUGCCUGUCUCGGGCACUGUGUGUACUGCUUUGGACUACUAGCCAUACGCUGCCAUUUGGGGCUCAAACUGAGGAAAUGUUUGCAUAGCAUCAUCGUCAAGAAGUUGUGUAUAUUCUGCUAGGAAGUAAAGAUGCUGACCUUAAGCAUUGAGAGAUGGAAGCCAUUCUGAGACAAUGCAGGGAGACUAAGUGCUUGUGGGUUAUUUUUGUUUAUAAAGAGUUUGCAACCAGCCCACGUUGAUCCACAGAGAAGUAGCUCCUAAAAGUCACUUAGCUAUGUAUUGGCUUUAUCUGGGAGCUAUGGCUACCAUUUCGGACUCUAAUAUAAAUAGACAAUAAAUAUUUUUCCUGAAUUCCUUUUCAUUUUGCGCGCGCGCUCUCUGUCUCUCUGUCUCUCUGUCUCUCUGUCUCUCUGUCUCUCUCUCUCUCUCUCUCUCUCUCUCUCUCUCUCUCUCUCUCUCUGUGUGUGUGUGUGUGUGUGUGUGUGUGUGUGUGUGUGUGUG
rnacentral:lncRNA from 1 species